AAAGAUAAAUUAAUAAUUUUAUUAAUAAUAAAAAUAAUUUUAAUUUAUUAAUAUUUUAAUGGGGGUUAAAGUAUUUUUUAAAGAAAAAAUUUAUAAGUUUAUAGUUAAUUAGUAUUGUGAAAGAAUUUUGAAAUAUUUGAAAAUAAAUUUUUAUUAAAGUAAAUUUUAUUUAUUGUAUCUUGUGUAUCAGAGUUUAUUAAAAAUUUUUAAUUUAGUGGUUAAUUUCUCGAAUUUAAAAGAGUUAAAUAAUUAAUAAAGUUAUUGUAGCAAAAUUAUUUUAAAUAAUUAUUUUGAAAUGAAAUGUUAUUCGUUUUUAAAUAUAUCUAGUUUUUAUAGAAAAAAAUUUAAUUUUAAAUUUAUUAAAUAAUUUAAUUAAUUUGUUAAUUAAAUUAUUAAUUUAAAUUUUAUAAUUUAAGGGAUAAGCUUUAAAUUAAACUAUUAUAAUAUAAUUUUUAAUUUUUGAAAAUUUUAUAAUUUAUAUUGUUAAUAAAUUUUAUUUUAUUAUAAAUAAUUUCAUAUUUAAUAAAAUUUAAAAAAUUAUAUUUAAUUUUUUAUAUAAAUAUUAUUUAAAAUUAAAAAAAUUUAGAAAUAAUGAUAAAAUUAGUAUAUUAUUUAUUAUUUAAUUUUAAGUUUUUAUUAAUAAUUAAAUUAAUUAAAAGGAAUUCGGCAAAUAUUUAUUUUCACUUGUUUAUCAAAAACAUGUCUUUUUGUAUUAUAUUUAAAGUCUAAUCUGCCCACUGAUUUAAUAAAUUAAAGGGCUGCAGUAUUUUGACUGUACAAAGGUAGCAUAAUCAUUAGUCUCUUAAUUGGUGACUUGUAUGAAAGAUUGAAUGAGAAAUAUACUGUCUCUUAUUUAUUAUAUAGAAUUUAAUUUUUUAUUUAAAAAGUUAAAAUAAAUUAAAAAGACGAGAAGACCCUAUAGAGUUUUAUAAAUAUUUUUAUUAAAAAAUUAUUUAUAUUAUAAUUAAAUAUUAUUAUAAAAUUAUUUAUUUUGUUGGGGUGAUAAAAAAAUAAAUAAAACUUUUUUUAAAAGUUUAACAAAAAUAAUUGAAUAUUUGAUCCAUUAAUAAUGAUUAUAAGAUUAAAUUACCUUAGGGAUAACAGCGUAAUUUUUUUUUUUAGUUCAAAUAAGAAAAAAAGUUUGCGACCUCGAUGUUGGAUUAAGAUAAAAUUUAAAUGCAAAAGUUUAAAAUUUUUGAUCUGUUCGAUCAUUAAAAUCUUACAUGAUCUGAGUUCAAACCGGUGUGAGCCAGGUUGGUUUCUAUCUUUUAAAAUAUAAAAUAUUUUAGUACGAAAGGAUCAAAUAUUUUAAUUAAAUUAUUUAAUUUUUGAAUUUUAUUAAUAUAAAAUUAAAAUUUUUUUAUUUUUUAAAUAUGGUAUA
rnacentral:rRNA from 1 species